UAGAGUAGAGCCGAUGCGUUAAGUACUAAGGGAUGGGAGGUCGCCCUUAGGCGAAGGAGGAAUCCGCGGUAUCGUCUCGCAGCCGCU
rnacentral:ncRNA from 1 species